CUGAAGAAAUGAUAGGGUUGAGCUGACUCUGCGGAGUAUGUGCUUGCACUAUCGCUUUUUCUAUUCUCCCUUGUGAACCCUUUGUAGACUUUUUGUAUGAUAUUGACAUCUUUUUACUAAAAGAGAAGGUCCUUGAGACUCGCAUCUUUCUAGAUGCUUGACUCUGCCCUUAUCAUAUAUUAGUCUAUGAUUUUUACAUAUCUACUCUUCAGUUCAUGAAUGUCUCUUUGUUGGUUUUGAAUACCAAUAAAUUUGUUUGUA
rnacentral:misc_RNA from 1 species